GAUGAAGAACGCAGCGAAAUGCGAUAAGUAGUGUGAAUUGCAGAAUUCAGUGAAUCAUCGAAUCUUUGAACGCACAUUGCGCCCCUCGGUAUUCCGUGGGGCACGCCUGUUCGAGCGUCAUUUACACCCUCAAGCGCAGCUUGGUGUUGGGCGUCUGUCCCGCUCUCCGUAGCGCGGACUCGCCUCAAAGUCAUUGGCGGCGGUCGUGCCGGCUCCUCGCGCAGCACAUUUGCGCUUCUCGGAGGCCCGGCGGAUCGGCAUCCAGCAAGCUACUUUUUAUGACUUGACCUCGGAUCAGGUGAGGAUACCCGCUGAACUUAAGCAUAUCAAUAAGCGGAGGA
rnacentral:misc_RNA from 1 species